GCCUACGGGAGGCAGCAGUGGGGGAUAUUGCACAAUGGGGGGAACCCUGAUGCAGCGACGCCGCGUGGGUGAAGGAGCGUUUCGGCGCGUAAAGCCCUAUCGGCAGGGAAGAAGGGGGACGGUACCUGACUAAGAAGCCCCGGCUAACUACGUGCCAGCAGCCGCGGUAAUACGUAGGGGGGAAGCGUUAUCCGGAUUUACUGGGUGUAAAGGGGGCGCAGACGGCAGCGCAAGCCAGGAGUGAAAGCCCGGGGGCCAA
rnacentral:rRNA from 1 species